UACAGAGGUCCCAAGCGUUGUUCGGAUUCACUGGGCGUAAAGGGUGCGUAGGCGGUCGGGUAAGUCUGAUGUGAAAUCUCACAGCUUAACUGUGAAACUGCAUUGGAUACUAUCCGGCUAGAGGAAUGGAGGGGAGACUGGAAUACUUGGUGUAGCAGUGAAAUGCGUAGAUAUCGAGUGGAACACCAGUGGCGAAGGCGAGUCUCUGGACAUUUCCUGACGCUGAGGCACGAAGGCCAGGGGAGCAAACGGG
rnacentral:rRNA from 1 species